GGAAAAUCCACUGAAGAAGGGAAUGGCAACCCAUUCCAGUGUUCUUGCCUCAAGAUUUCCAUGGACAGAGGAGACUGGCAGAGAAUCAGACACGACUGAGUGACUCACUUUUCCUUAAAGAUCCACCAAAGGAUGGUGACAGCCCUGGAACCGGUGGCAGCCCGCACCGCUCUCGUCGCUGUCCCUACUUCAGGACCCGCAGCACCCCCUCGGUGGCACCAUGCAGGCCCUGGUCUCCCCGGGGACCAAGGCCAUCUUCAUGGCUCUGUUCCUCUUCGCUAUCCUGCUCAUCCUCUGCGUGAUCUUGUGGUACAUUUGCCGGGACCUGUACGAUGAUUACAUCCGAAGCAGCCUGAACAGCAAGAUCCCUGGGAAUUCUGCUGCCCUGUCAUGGAUUGGAGGCUGUAGUUUGCCAGGGUAGAUUUUGGGAACAGAGACAGCAGCCUACACUUCACCACCAUCUUGAGAGCUACAGAUCAAACUCCAUCCAGUGACUGCUCGACAUCAUGGCCCCAAACCCAGGAAAGCAUGAAGUCUUGAUGAGGAGCUGAAAACACCAGCUGAGCAUCCUCACUGUGUAUUAUGGACUCUCUAACCUGUGGUCAUGUGCACCAUUCAUUUGCAUCGGAAUUUUGGUCUUAGGCCUAUUUUUGUGCUUAGGUAUCUAUCACCUUACUGUCUUGACCUCUCUGUUGCUAGAAGGGUGGAUUUGCUAACCAAACACAGUCUCAGGUCCUUUUGACUUAAGCAAAAGUGAACAGAAUUAUAACUGCUCGUUUCAUACACUCCCUUUUGGAUAAUAGUGACAGGAAGGCUAGGCCUGGAACUUGCACUGUGCAACACUUGUUUCCUGUGUGCUGACAUCUGACACACACACUAUAAGGGAAGGGCCAGAACGUUUAUCCCGUUAGAAGAGGCAGGUCUCUGUGUCUUGAGUGUGCCAGAGGGUAUUUCAGGAAAGGACUGGGUUUUAUACUUCUGGAAGUCACAGAAUACUGUACUCCUCCAAACCUAAAUAGCCUUCCUAUUGUGCC
ensembl:lncRNA